rnacentral:lncRNA from 1 species
UUUUUGCCUAAAAGACAAAAAUCUGGUUGUGAAUAAAAAAAUUACGACUGACCUUCAGAAGUAGUCUAAAGCAGGGUUUCCAAAAAUCGGUCCUGGCCCCCCAGGUGCCCCCCUCCCAUGUCUUGGUUUUUGUCCUAGCAUUACACAGCUGUUUCAAACCAACUCAUCAGCCAGCUUUGGUUAUCUGAAUCAGCUGUGUAGUGCUAAGGCAAAAACCAAAACAUGCACCCAGGGGGGACCCUGGGACCAAGUUUGGGAAAACCUGGUCUAAGGGAGCAUUUCACAUGUUCAGAGGAUAGAUUCAUUUGUAUGGUGAUGUGCUGUGCUGUUAUGUACAUGUUACGUAAUGUCAUGUCAUGUGGCAUCACUGGAGAGGCAGAGAGGAGCUGGAGGGCAGGAGGGCAGAGGAGCGAGCACGGCUCGAGGCUGAGGCCCAGUGGCUGGUAGUGGAGAGGAGGGAGGAAGAGGAGCAGAGACAUGCAGAGGAGGAGAAAGUCAUCCGGGCCACACAUGAAGCUGCUCUCCUCCAGAAACAGAGAGAGGAGGAGGAGGCCCAGGCCAGGGACAAGGCAGAGCAGCAGAGGCUGCAGAGAGAGAAGCACUUCCAGAAGGAGGAGGAACAACGGCAGGAGAGGAAAAAGCGACUGGAGUUGAUCAUGAGGAGGACUAGGAAGACCUCAACUGAAGAUAAAAAAACGCCUGUCCUGAAUGGGAAGACAAACAGAAACCCCUCUCCAGAGGAAGCCCAACCAAAAAAGAACACUGAGCCUGUGAAGAACGGCAACGGCACUUUAGAAGAGGUCAUCAACCUAGGGGUCGGGACGGGGACCAAGCCAUCCAAUCUAGGUCUGAGUGGCGUGGAAGACAACAUGGUUCCUGUCGUGGCCUUCAAAGAACGCAGGUCCCUGCUAACUCUGACCGGCAUGGAGAAGAUCCAGUCCCAUCAGAGGGCAGGUGAGAGCUCAUCACAUCCUCCGUCAGCUCAUCUAUACUCUCUAUGCUAUGUAGAUAUUACACUAGAGUCGUGA